rnacentral:rRNA from 4 species
GGGUUGUGAGGUUAAGCGACUAAGCGUACACGGUGGAUGCCCUGGCAGUCAGAGGCGAUGAAGGGCGUGCUAAUCUGCGAUAAGCGCCGGUAAGGUGAUAUGAACCGUUAUAACCGGCGAUACCCGAAUGGGGAAACCCAGUGUGACUCGUCACACUAUCAUUAACUGAAUCCAUAGGUUAAUGAGGCGAACCGGGGGAACUGAAACAUCUAAGUACCCCGAGGAAAAGAAAUCAACCGAGAUUCCCCCAGUAGCGGCGAGCGAACGGGGAGGAGCCCAGAGCCUGAAUCAGCAUGUGUGUUAGUGGAAGCGUCUGGAAAGGCGCGCGAUACAGGGUGACAGCCCCGUACACAAAAGCGCAUGUGCUGUGAGCUCGAUGAGUAGGGCGGGACACGUGGUAUCCUGUCUGAAUAUGGGGGGACCAUCCUCCAAGGCUAAAUACUCCUGACUGACCGAUAGUGAACCAGUACCGUGAGGGAAAGGCGAAAAGAACCCCGGCGAGGGGAGUGAAAAAGAACCUGAAACCGUGUACGUACAAGCAGUGGGAGCACCCUUUGGGUGUGACUGCGUACCUUUUGUAUAAUGGGUCAGCGACUUAUAUUCUGUAGCAAGGUUAACCGAAUAGGGGAGCCGGAGGGAAACCGAGUCUUAAUUGGGCGUUAAGUUGCAGGGUAUAGACCCGAAACCCGGUGAUCUAGCCAUGGGCAGGUUGAAGGUUGGGUAACACUAACUGGAGGACCGAACCGACUAAUGUUGAAAAAUUAGCGGAUGACCUGUGGCUGGGGGUGAAAGGCCAAUCAAACCGGGAGAUAGCUGGUUCUCCCCGAAAGCUAUUUAGGUAGCGCCUCGUGAAUUCAUCUCCGGGGGUAGAGCACUGUUUCGGCUAGGGGGCCAUCCCGGCUUACCAACCCGAUGCAAACUGCGAAUACCGGAGAAUGUUAUCACGGGAGACACACGGCGGGUGCUAACGUCCGUCGUGAAGAGGGAAACAACCCAGACCGCCAGCUAAGGUCCCAAAGUCAUGGUUAAGUGGGAAACGAUGUGGGAAGGCCCAGACAGCCAGGAUGUUGGCUUAGAAGCAGCCAUCAUUUAAAGAAAGCGUAAUAGCUCACUGGUCGAGUCGGCCUGCGCGGAAGAUGUAACGGGGCUAAACCAUGCACCGAAGCUGCGGCAGCGACACUGUGUGUUGUUGGGUAGGGGAGCGUUCUGUAAGCCUGUGAAGGUGUGUCGUGAGGCAUGCUGGAGGUAUCAGAAGUGCGAAUGCUGACAUAAGUAACGAUAAAGCGGGUGAAAAGCCCGCUCGCCGGAAGACCAAGGGUUCCUGUCCAACGUUAAUCGGGGCAGGGUGAGUCGACCCCUAAGGCGAGGCCGAAAGGCGUAGUCGAUGGGAAACGGGUUAAUAUUCCCGUACUUGGUGUUACUGCGAAGGGGGGACGGAGAAGGCUAUGUUGGCCGGGCGACGGUUGUCCCGGUUUAAGCGUGUAGGUGUGUGUUCCAGGUAAAUCCGGUUCACUUUAACACUGAGGCGUGACGACGAGGCACUACGGUGCUGAAGCAACAAAUGCCCUGCUUCCAGGAAAAGCCUCUAAGCAUCAGGUAACAUCAAAUCGUACCCCAAACCGACACAGGUGGUCAGGUAGAGAAUACCAAGGCGCUUGAGAGAACUCGGGUGAAGGAACUAGGCAAAAUGGUGCCGUAACUUCGGGAGAAGGCACGCUGACACGUAGGUGAAGUGAUUUACUCAUGGAGCUGAAGUCAGUCGAAGAUACCAGCUGGCUGCAACUGUUUAUUAAAAACACAGCACUGUGCAAACACGAAAGUGGACGUAUACGGUGUGACGCCUGCCCGGUGCCGGAAGGUUAAUUGAUGGGGUCAGCGCAAGCGAAGCUCCUGAUCGAAGCCCCGGUAAACGGCGGCCGUAACUAUAACGGUCCUAAGGUAGCGAAAUUCCUUGUCGGGUAAGUUCCGACCUGCACGAAUGGCGUAAUGAUGGCCAGGCUGUCUCCACCCGAGACUCAGUGAAAUUGAACUCGCUGUGAAGAUGCAGUGUACCCGCGGCAAGACGGAAAGACCCCGUGAACCUUUACUAUAGCUUGACACUGAACAUUGAGCCUUGAUGUGUAGGAUAGGUGGGAGGCUUUGAAGUGUGGACGCCAGUCUGCAUGGAGCCGACCUUGAAAUACCACCCUUUAAUGUUUGAUGUUCUAACGUGGACCCGUUACCCGGGUUGCGGACAGUGUCUGGUGGGUAGUUUGACUGGGGCGGUCUCCUCCUAAAGAGUAACGGAGGAGCACGAAGGUUGGCUAAUCCUGGUCGGACAUCAGGAGGUUAGUGCAAUGGCAUAAGCCAGCUUGACUGCGAGCGUGACGGCGCGAGCAGGUGCGAAAGCAGGUCAUAGUGAUCCGGUGGUUCUGAAUGGAAGGGCCAUCGCUCAACGGAUAAAAGGUACUCCGGGGAUAACAGGCUGAUACCGCCCAAGAGUUCAUAUCGACGGCGGUGUUUGGCACCUCGAUGUCGGCUCAUCACAUCCUGGGGCUGAAGUAGGUCCCAAGGGUAUGGCUGUUCGCCAUUUAAAGUGGUACGCGAGCUGGGUUUAGAACGUCGUGAGACAGUUCGGUCCCUAUCUGCCGUGGGCGCUGGAGAACUGAGGGGGGCUGCUCCUAGUACGAGAGGACCGGAGUGGACGCAUCACUGGUGUUCGGGUUGUCAUGCCAAUGGCACUGCCCGGUAGCUAAAUGCGGAAGAGAUAAGUGCUGAAAGCAUCUAAGCACGAAACUUGCCCCGAGAUGAGUUCUCCCUGAGACUUAAAGUCUCCUGAAGGAACGUUGAAGACGACGACGUUGAUAGGCCGGGUGUGUAAGCGCAGCGAUGCGUUGAGCUAACCGGUACUAAUGAACCGUGAGGCUUAACCUUACAACGCCGAAG